GCGGUGCCACCAUUUUUGUAACGCCCUUUACCUGUAGUUUCACUUAAGGUAAAGGCAUGAGUUCUGUUAAGGUGGAUCUCUCCUUACUUUUUUGUGUCAAUACUUUUAACGCUUAGUUAAAUCAAAUUUCCAAGUAUGAGCAUUUCUGAACAAUUAAUAAAUAUCCCCCCAUCAAGACAAAUACCACAGUUUUAA